AAUUUUUUAAUAAUAAAUUUAAAAAUAAAAAAUAUAUAUUUUUUAAGUAAUAAACUAAAAAAUUAAAAAAUUACAAUUGCAAAAAUGGUAUUUUUUGCAAAAUUAUAAAAUUAAUUUUAUACGGUGCUGUAAAUCGUUUACCAUUUUUAUAUUUUUUAUUUUUAUAUUUUUUAAAGUUCGGAUAUAAAAAAUAUAUAAGUUAGGUAAAAAAGGUGAAUAAUUUAUCGUUUUAUAAAACAACGAAUGAUUCUCUGUUUAAAUUUAAUUCUAUAAAUAAAAAUUUUGAAUAUUUUUUUU
rnacentral:lncRNA from 1 species